AAUCAACGCUGGCGGCGUGCCUAACACAUGCAAGUCGCACGAGAAAGUGGAGCAAUCCAUGAGUAAAGUGGCGCACGGGUGAGUAACACGUGAAUAAUCUACCUCCGAGUGGGGAAUAACUUAGGGAAACCUGAGCUAAUACCGCAUAACACUUACGAGUCAAAGCAGCAAUGCGCUUGGAGAGGAGUUCGCGGCAGAUUAGCUAGUUGGCGGGGUAAUGGCCCACCAAGGCGAUGAUCUGUAUCCGGCCUGAGAGGGCGCACGGACACACUGGAACUGAAACACGGUCCAGACUCCUACGGGAGGCAGCAGUGGGGAAUUUUGCGCAAUGGGGGAAACCCUGACGCAGCAACGCCGCGUGGAGGAUGAAAUCCCUUGGGAUGUAAACUCCUUUCGAUCGGGACGAUU
rnacentral:rRNA from 1 species